rnacentral:snoRNA from 1 species
UUAUGUUUAUGAUGAUCUCAUAGUUCAACUGAUUCUAACUGAAGACCAAAAUUUUUGUUUUUCGCUCCUAUCUGAAGUUAUUU